rnacentral:lncRNA from 1 species
AUGCUCUGCUCCUCUUGUCUUGCUCUGGCUUGUCUCCCACCAAUCCAGCCGCUGCUGUUUUCCAUCAGUCUGCAUCUCUCAGCUAGUGGCUGUGCUCUAGCAUUUCAAGGGUUUAAAGCUGCAUUUCAGGGCACUUCUACCCACACCCUGGCACCAAAUAUCUGCGACGGGAGCGAGGCCAGCAGGAGAAUUUCCAGAAGUUCUAGGUCACAUCAAGUGCGAUACUUCAGAUUCUCUCAGCAGAUUCAUCGUAACACAAAAGGGAACCGCCCCCGCAGCAGCUUUCCUUAGCAGCGGAUCGUCCCCUCGCACAGAUUCACUUCAGAGAGAUAAGACGAGGGCUGUGGUCACAGAGGGGAUAAAAACAGGGCGGUGGGGUAGGAUUCACACCGGUUAGGGGUUUUGAGUCAGCUAUGCGGGGGGGAAGGUUUGAGAAAUGGCCUCUGGGGCCACAGUGCGGGAAAGGCUCACUUUAGCUAACAAUGCUGAGGGGGGCAGGGCAGAGCAGUCCCAGGGUGUGUUGUCACUUGUCUCUUGUGCUUUCUAUAUCUUCUGUACAUCUCGUGUAGCAUAUCUCUUGUCUUAGCCCUCCCAGGAGCUUAUAAGAAACCCCAGCUCCUUCUGUUCAUCUCCCAUCUUUGCGUUCCUCGGCCCGGCACCGGCGAAGCUUCUAUGCGGGAGUUCGGACAGGCGUCAGAAUCGCAUCUGUCUUUAGAAGCGUGUGAUCGGAUGUUUUUUUAGGUCUCGUUCUCAGCUGUGUCAACAGCUAUAUGCAGCAGUGUUUCUUUACAGUGGAUAAGGACUUGUGCCGAUUCAAAGGCAGGCAGAGGCUUCCAGCCACAGGAUUCUCAGGCAUCUGUCUCUGCGGUUCUUGGAAAACAGUUGUUCCGUUAGCAUCUUUUCCCUCCAGGGUCAUCUGAUCCCGGCAGGCUCGCCUCGGGUCCCUCCUCGGUCAUCUCGUUCAGCAUUCUCUCGGUCCUCGUCAGGACUUUCUUGUCUCAGAGAGUUUUCUCUCCCUGUCACGUCCCCUCGUGUCACGGGUGUCUGGGGGUAUUUGGUCCGGAGCUGCUCUGCCCUGGCGCCCAGCCCGGUUGUAGGUGUUUAAGGACAAGUCCCGGGCACUUGUAAUUGGAGAUUUGUAAUACGGGCUGUAGUUGGAGUCUAGCUGGUAUUCUUAUGUUGGCAGCAGGUGUCUGGAGCUGUGAAGUUACCCUGCAGCACUUUGACUUUUUUCCUAACUUUCUUUCAGAUUCAGACAGAUUGACCUCCUGGCAGAACACCUGUCCCAGAU